rnacentral:rRNA from 1 species
CCGCCUACGGGGGGCAGCAGUGGGGAAUAUUGCACAAUGGGGGAAACCCUGAUGCAGCGACGCCGCGUGAGCGAUGAAGUAUUUCGGUAUGUAAAGCUCUAUCAGCAGGGAAGAAAAUGACGGUACCUGACUAAGAAGCCCCGGCUAACUACGUGCCAGCAGCCGCGGUAAUACGUAGGGGGCAAGCGUUAUCCGGAUUUACUGGGUGUAAAGGGAGCGUAGACGGCGGUGCAAGCCAGAUGUGAAAGCCCGGGGCUCAACCCCGGGACUGCUCUUGGAACUGCGUGGCUAGAGGGCAGGAGGGG